CCAGCAGCUGCAACCCGCUUCGGUCUUGUUCUGGGUUGUGGUAGCUUUGUUCUUAUGCUUUUUGUAAUAGCUCUUGUUGCUGUUCAGUGUUUGGCGUCUCCACUACUUUUAUGAGCCGUAACACUCGGUGGGAAGAUCUGUGGCUUCGCUCCUGAAGUCAGCGAGACCGGGAACCCACCGGGAGGAACGAACAACUCGGGACGCUACACCUUUAAGAGCUGUAACAUUCACUGCAAAGGUCUGCAGUUUCACUCCUGAAGUCCGCGAGACCACAAACCCACUAGGAAGAAGGAACAACUUGGGACACGUCACCUUUUAAGAGCUGUAACACUUACGGGGAAGGCCUGCGGUUUCACUCCUGAAGUCAGCAAGACCACGAACCCAUGAGAAGGAAGAAACUCUGGACACAUCUGAACAUCUGAAGGAAUGAGCUCCGGACACACCGUCUUUAAGAACUCUAACACCACGAGAGUCCGCGGCUUCAUCCUUGGAAGUCAGCGAGACUGAAAACCCUCCGGAAGGAACCAAUUCCAGACUCAUCAAAUAUUGCAACUGAGGCUUAGAAAAGUUAAAUGCUUUUGCCGAGGAGGUCCAACUGCUGGAUUUCUGAACAAUUUGAACAAUAACAUUUAAAAAAUGGAAGAUGAAACUGUAACAUUAUCUUUAUUACUGGAAAAAAAUAAAAGUUAGAAGACUUGGCCUUAGGCCAUGGCUCUGUAUCUCCAUGAAGUAUCUCCACAUUGACGAAGAGCACCUGGAGAUUCCACAAAACCUUCUUUCCUAGGGGCAACUUGCAAACAAAAAAGGGAGAAAAAGAGGGUUAAGCCUCUUCAAUGGGUGUGUGAUUAAGGUAAAAUUUCUAUUAAAAAAUGGGAUUAUCCCAGCAACUGAUGAAGCUGAGCACGGAAAAGCAAUGAUUGCAACUUGGGAGUCUGUAACUCGAAGGGACAGAAUUCUUUAUCUGCAUAUGUCACACAUCAGAAGAUCUGUUCACUAGUUACAAUGCAGAGUGAACGUGGGACGUGGGUCUCUGUUACUUGCUGAAAUUUCCCUGAGAAAAAUGUGGCUUUUUGACGUAAGAUAACUUUCUCUAGCUCAGCCAGUUCUGCUUCCGUACUCACAAUGUCGGAGACCCUGCUUGUCUCAUUCGCACACCAUCAUUAGCAGUUCCUUCAACAAAAACAUUACAUCUUUCAGUGUAUGUAUUCCGCACUGAAUGAAAAACAAAAAUGGCACUGCAGGACUUAAGCCUUUCUGGAUUGGAGAGGAAGAGCAGAAUAUUAAUAAUAAACAGAGAAAGACA